rnacentral:ncRNA from 1 species
GAACUGGAGAGUUUGAUUCUGGCUCAGAUUGAACGCUGGCGGCGUGCUUAACACAUGCAAGUCGAACGCGAAAGAGGCUUCGGUCUCGAGUAGAGUGGCGCG